ensembl:lincRNA predicted gene, 16701
UACGGGGGGGACAAGCUCCGCGGAAGAGACUGGCUGUGCGUGUUAACCAGCACAUAGUCAUUUCCUACCAGCUGUGUCAGAGUGAAACCUUGACGAAGAGGCACCUAUCUAUGCUCUCCAGAUGACGCCACAGAUGGACUGCACAUUCCAUUCCAUGUAUCUGCUACAUGUGUUAUUGUGUUUUCGGUGUCAAAUAGGAAGAAUAUUUAUCAGAUAAAUUUUUAUUACAUGUCUUCUCUCAUAGUUCAGAGCCAGCAGCUUCUUUUAACUUUUUUCCCUCACGAUCAUUGAGCUGGAUCUGGUACUCAAGUGUGAACUCCUCUAACAGGCCACACAAGACUGCUGGGGACAGUCUUUAGUUAGGACAGAUGAAUUGCUAAAGUUCUAAAAGGCAGUUCUAAAAGCAGCCUUCAUCCUUGUCUUACCUUUUCUGACACGCUGGCUUCACUUUAUAAUUCACAAAAAAAAAGCAAUCUCCUUCUUUGAUGACAUGGCUCACUUUAUGAUGUAGCUGCAGGCCUCCAUCACUGGUCCUUUUAUUCAGCAAACACUUCCUGGUGGCAUGGCAAGAGCCAAGUAUUGUGCUAGGUACUAGCAACUCGGAGUUGAACCAACAUUCAUGAUCCACUCGAGAAGAUAAACCUUUUAACAAGUUGUUGCAGUCAACUGUGCUGCUGAUGUAAUAGAAACGGAUAUGCAGUGUCAUGGGAGGCCAGACAGGAGAGCCAUGAGAAUUAUAGAUGGCUCUACUGAGACAGUGACAUUUGAAUUAGAUCCUGAGGACUGAUUGAGACUGGCCGAGAAGAGAAGCAUUCGAGGAUGAGACAGAGAUGGGUUUGUGAAAAGCAAAAUGUGUAGAGGUGUGAAAGAGCUUGGGCACACUCGGAAAACCAGCCGCUAGUGAAAGAGUUUCUCAACAUUACAUGUGGGCAACGGACGUCAAAUCUCUGUCCCCAAACUAGUUGUUGAUCUUCAGAGGAAGUCAGCGAACGCAAGGUUCAGUUCGAGGUGGUGGGAGAUGGCUCGCUACCAAUGUGGAGACUAGAAAUAGGCAAGAUUUCAGGGUCCAUGAUUGACAUGAUUUGGCCUUGAGUUAGGGUAGAGCUAUGGGGCUCCGGAGACCUGGCUGCAUCUGAGAGUCAUUAGGAGGUAAAUUUGAUUCACUCAGUGAUUGAUUAGUGUCAGAGGAAGGUCGGGGCCAACUAUUGAGUUUUCCAGCUUUGGUGAUGAAAUGCAUGUGGUCAGAUGAAGACAAAGGUAGGAACAUGUUGAGGUUGGGAGUCAAAUCGCGUUCAGCUGGAGAUGCUCAAGAGACGGUUUGCGGGAGGAAGCCAGAGUUUGGGUUUCAGUGGUUAUUAUCUUCUAAGAGAUAGGCGGAAAGAAAAACAUCCAGCUGGAGAAUUAGGUUAUCUUUCUCAUUUGAAUAAUUGGUCAGUCUGCAGUUGUGUGGAUAAAAAUCUCCAUUGUCUUCUGGUACAAGCCAAGCGGCCAUACAUGGAGAAGGUACGUUAACUGUCUCCAACAUGUAGGAGAAAUGUGUAAGGGAGAAUAUGUUUUAUUUUCAAAACUUAACUUUGUUGUAUCUAGUAGAGUGUCAAUAAAAUAUAUUAUCUAC